CCAACAUCGAGGACGAUACAAUCAAGUUAGAUGAUUGGAUGCUUUCGUUCGAAAAUUGUAAAGGAAGCAUUUAAAAAAUGCGGAAAAUAAAGAGGUGUUACGCUGAUAAUCUACGUUAUCUAACCAAUACAAGACUACCUGUUUGUCAUGAUUGCAAAGUAGAAACCACCCUUAAGUUACUUACUAGCGUGGAAAGCGCGGCGCGAAAGGUAUGUACCGAUGGAUCUUUAAUUAAAUAUAUAUUUAUUUAAUUACAUAUAAUUACAAUCACACAUGUUUUUACAUUACAUACGUAGAACUGUCAAUUUUCAGAAAAUGAAAGAAAAUUAGUUCUCUAUUGGGUAAUCGUUACAAGCGAAAUUAAGGACGGUAGCAUCUAAAUCUCAUUUCCGGGACUAGGAGACUGAGUAGGACACGAUCAUGUGAAACAAUGCCGAUUUUCUGACAUUAAGGGACCCUUGGUUUUUCUUCCGUACAAAUUUCAUUUUUAAUUUAGAAUCACGUUGAAGGGUAAUAGGAAG